UUAGGUUACAAUGUCCAUGCAAACCUUAUAGCAGACAAACCGUGACCUCGUUCAUUUAUUAAGGGGAACGCAAAAAACUAAAGCAUUAUCGGCCAGUCGUUUACUGAUUAUCUAUACUAAUAUAUAAACCUACAGUGGUUUUUACGUUAUAACUACUGAACCAUGCAUCUGGUUGACUUGAAACUUGGUAUCCAGAUCGCCUUCGAAAGUGUCUUUAUAGCGGAUAUUCAGAAACUUGGCACAUAUCCGCAAGAAGUUAAUAUUUACCGCGGCUUUCGGAUAUUGAUCGGCGGUUUCCUUGACGAGGGUACAAUUUCUCUUGAUGUGGGAUAUCUGGAACUUAGGUCGAUUCAAAGUGUGCAACGGAAUAAGCUCUUAUGAAACUUUUCGACAUGGUGCAGUGAAAUAGAUGAAAUAUAAAACCUUUUCAAUAUAAUCUUGAAUUUAUAUCGCAAAGAUCUUGCCAUUGUCCUUCCUAUAAACGCUUAAGAAUAAAAUAUGUUUUAAAGCGUUUUUAAUCAAAUUCUAGAUACUUUAGCUUUUUAAUCAAAGUUUUGAAUACUAUAUAUGAUUACUUCAUAAUUAAUUAAAAUUAUUGAAAUGUG